AUUAUCCAGCUCCUCUGCACACUAAAUUUCUAUCUUCCAUCAUUCAGCCAGGCAUAUAAUUAAAAUAUUAUUUGAAUGUAUUUACUACCAUAACGUACAAUUACAAACUUAUCCUAGAAUCACUGGCUUAAAGUACCAAAUAUCAAAUUUUGUUUUUAAGUCUGAAUUCUAACUCUCUGAUCAUUAGUUUUUCUCAUUUUUUCUUUUUUCUUUUUAUGGCUGUACCUGAGGCAUAGAGAAGUUUCCAGGCUAGGGGUUGAAUUGGAGCUACAGGCCUACACAACAGCCACAGCAACACCAAAUCUGAGUGGCAUCUGUGACCAACGGCGAAGCAUGCAGCAAUGCCAAAUCCUUAACCCACUGAGCAAGGCCAGGGACUGAAUCCUCAAGGAGAUUACGUUGGGUUCUUUACCCACUAAGCCACAAUGGGAACUCCCUAUCCUCAUUUUCUAUAAAUGAUAUAGCCAAUUUUAUCCUCAUCUUAGUGUGAGUACAAAACCUCAAAAAAUGUCCAUAAAUUAAUAAGCACUUAAAACACAUAGCAGUGAAAAAUGUAGUUUUAAGCUUUUAUUCAAAUUUUAAAUGACCCAUGUGGGGACUAUGUCAUCAAACCAAGAAGAAGGAGUACACAUCACAAUCAGAACUAUUAAAUUCUUUAAAAAAAUAUGAACUUCCCUUUCCUUCAGAUUCCAUAUGUAGUCUUUGAAAAACAAAGAAAUAUAGAAAGAAUUUUAAAAAAUUAUCUCACCUUCACCAUCCUAAGAUAAUACUGUUAACAUUUUACCAAAAAAUUCUGGACACUUCACGAAAUCAAGAGUGCCUCUUUCCCAGAGUUCCCAUCAUGGCUCAAUGGUUAACAAAACUGACUAGUAUCCAUGAGGACGCAGGUUUGAUCCCUGGCCUCAAUCAGUGGGUUAAGGAUCCAGCAUUGCCAUGAGCUGUGGUGUAGGUCAUAGACUCGGCUUGGAUCCUGCGUUGCUGUGGCUGUGGUGUAGGCCAGCAGCUAUACCUCCAACUUGACCCCUAGCCUGGGAACCUCCAUAUGCCAUGGGGGCAGCCCUAAAAAAAAAAAAAAAAAAAAAAAAAAAGAGUGUAUAUUUCCCGUUUUACUCUGUGUUACCAAGUAUAUCUAUGAUUGGUAUGUGAUACUUUUCUAUUUCUCUAAAACUAGACUUAGUUUUAUUGACCCUGGAUAAGUUCACUAUAUCCAGAUCUCCAGCUCAGUUUUUCAGCUUUAAAGACUUCAGAUAAGAGGUUCUCAAACCAAAUUACUCAGAAAUAGAAAACAGGCUUCCUGUGAGAUACAGAAAUAGAGAUACUAGAAUCAGAAAAAUCCAUAAAGGCACCCUGAGAGUUACAACUACUAGGUAUGUGGGAUUACACAUGCAAUGAAGAACCUGAAAGUGUUUUAUUUCUGCAAUUGAGCUUAAAUUCUAACAACAUAUAAUCUAACUUUAACCUACCAUCAGUUUCUGGAUAAAAGGGCAAAACAAUAUAUAUAAUGAAGAAGGACAAAUACAAUGAAAACAAGAUGAAUGACCCCAACUCCGUGGGUAAUUUCCUUCACUAGGCACCCAUUUCUUUCGUAUUUAUGUAGAAAUGUUAUAACUUGGCUUAAUAUUUGAGCUGCAACAACUUUUUAAGUAUGGCACAAAGGGAAUUUAACAAAUGAUUAAAGGGUAAAUAAAACAUGUACCAGAGUAGGGGGUCAUAACAAACCUUCAUCUUAAUAGCAUAUCACUGAAAACUCUCUAAAAGACUACGGUCUUGCUAACAGUCUAAGAUUAAGGUUAUAAAUGAAACUCCAAUGCACACAUGCACUCUCAUGCAUGCACAAAUACUAUUAAAAAUAUAUACCAGAAGACAAUGAAAACAGUAUCAACAUGCUUAUUUGCAAGUCAUCUUGAACUCAAAUGUCUCUAGCGCAUAAGUUCCAUCAUGGCAAGAACUGUAUUUGUACAGUAAUACCCAAAUUCCGACCUCACUGUUGUAUACUGGUAACUCAACUGAUCAGAGUUUUAGAGCAUCUCAGAAGUCAUCUUAUUUAAAAUCUCCUAAUUUAAAAAUGAGAUUAAGAAACCACUGCAGAAAAAAAAGAAGAAAAAAGCCACUUUGAAAAGGUUUAGGCUCCUUAUCCUUCCAAACUUAUUAACAAGCAACAUUUAUUGAAUGUGGCUAUGUAUAAAAAAAUAACAAAAUAAAAUGGAAAGGAAUGUGACAGUCUCCUCCAUACUUGCUUAGCUAGACAAGAAAGAGAACAACUGUUAUCACUAACAGUGGACUGGUUAAGUGCUGAAAGAGCAGACUGAAAUAAUGACAUCUUACUCCUUUGGUAUCUAAGGCUAUUGUAUCAUCAGUUUCAAGCAAGUAGUUCCUUAAGAACAGAGCCCAACUGUCAUUCUCAGGGGAUACUUGCAUCAUAGGGAGUACAAGCUUAUAAACCACUACCACUUCAGCAAAGCUUUCACUUGAGGAAGAACUGAUCAAUGAUGCUGGCAGAGGCAGUUUUAUAUCUUCUUCCUAAAUGUCAGGAAUCAGUAGAUCUAGUCAAGGACUAAAAAAUAACUCAGAGCAAAAUGUGCCCCAAUUUUUCUGUGAAAAAUUUUAAAUUCAAAAAUAAACCAAAAAUUCUCUUGUCGCAUAGCAGGUUAAGGAUCCCACGUUGUCACUGCAGUGGCUUGGAUCUCUGCUGUGGCACAUGUUUGAUUCCCGCCCUAGGAACUUCCACAUGCCAUGGGAGCUGCCAAAAAAAAAAAUGUUUAAAAAAAAAUAAGCCAAAUGUAAGAUAACAAAGGAUAAUCAAGGUAUCGCAGUGGUUAACAAAUCUGACUAGGAACCAUGAGGUUGCAGGUUCGAUCCCUGGCCUUGUUCAGUGGGUUAAGAAUCCAGCGUUGCCAUGAGCUGUGGUGUAGGUUGCAGAAGUGGCUCGAAU
ensembl:lncRNA